rnacentral:rRNA from 1 species
AUUGAACGCUGGCGGCAGGCCUAACACAUGCAAGUCGAACGAGUGGCGGACGGGUGAGUAAUGUCUGGGAAACUGCCUGAUGGAGGGGGAUAACUACUGGAAACGGUAGCUAAUACCGCAUACCAUCGGAUGUGCCCAGAUGGGAUUAGCUAGUAGGUGGGGUAACGGCUCACCUAGGCGACGAUCCCGAGCUGGUCUGAGAGGAUGACCACCGACACUGGAACUGAGACACGGUCCAGACGCCUACGGGAGGCAGCAGUGGGGAAUAGUGCGCAAUGGGGGCAAGCCUUAUGCAGUCAUGCGGCGUGUAUGAAGACGGCCUUCGGGUUGUAAAGUACUUUCAGCGGGGAGGCGUUACCCGCAGAAGAAGCACCGGCUAACUCCGUGCCAGCAGCCGCGGUAAUAC